rnacentral:rRNA from 1 species
UACAGAAACUACAAAGGAAGUUAGGACGGGGAGGCGACUACGAACGGGUGGAGCCUGCGGUUUAAUUGGAUUCAACGCCGGAAAUCUCACCGGGGCGACAGCAAUAUGAAGGUCAGGCUGAAGACCUUACCCGAUUAGCUGAGAGGUGGUGCAUGGCCGUCGUCAGUUCGUACUGUGAAGCAUCCUGUUAAGUCAGGCAACGAGCGAGACCCACGUCCACAGUUGCCAGCAUACCCUCCGGGGUGAUGGGUACACUGUGGAGACCGCCGCUGCUAAAGCGGAGGAAGGAGUGGGCAACGGUAGGUCAGUAUGCCCCGAAUCUCCCGGGCUACACGCGGGCUACAAUGGUUGGUACAAUGGGCAUCUACCCCGAAAGGGGAAGGAAAUCUCUUAAAGCCAAUCGUAGUUCGGAUUGAGGGCUGCAACUCGCCCUCAUGAAGCUGGAAUCCGUAGUAAUCGCGUUUCAACAGAACGCGGUGAAUACGUCCCUGCUCCUU